AGUGAACGCUGGCGGUAGGCCUGACACAUGCAAGUCGAACGGCAGCACAGUAAGAGCUUGCUCUUACGGGUGGCGAGUGGCGGACGGGUGAGGAAUACAUCGGAAUCUACUUUUUCGUGGGGGAUAACGUAGGGAAACUUACGCUAAUACCGCAUACGACCUACGGGUGAAAGCAGGGGACCUUCGGGUCUUGCGCGAUUGAAUGAGCCGAUGUCGGAUUAGCUAGUUGGCGGGGUAAAGGCCCACCAAGGCGACGAUCCGUAGCUGGUCUGAGAGGAUGAUCAGCCACACUGGAACUGAGACACGGUCCAGACUCCUACGGGAGGCAGCAGUGGGGAAUAUUGGACAAUGGGCGCAAGCCUGAUCCAGCCAUACCGCGUGGGUGAAGAAGGCCUUCGGGUUGUAAAGCCCUUUUGUUGGGAAAGAAAUCCAGCCGGCUAAUACCUGGCUGGGAUGACGGUACCCAAAGAAUAAGCACCGGCUAACUUCGUGCCAGCCGCCGCCGUAAAAC
rnacentral:rRNA from 1 species